rnacentral:rRNA from 1 species
CACGAAGUUGCGUGAGCUAAGGAGUACAUAUAGUAGUAGAAAAGUGUUGCAAAAUGUGGGAGAGUAGUCCUUAGGGGUGAUAGGCUUUCCAAACGCAGCGAUAACUUGUUUGCCCUGAAACUUAUUUAGUAUAGUACAAGUCCGGAGUGCUUAGAUUCCGGACAGGGAUCAAUUAUCUGUAUGAUUACUUAUCGAGUGUAAAAACGUAUAAGCGGCAAUUAUAAUAUUAAUUUGUUUCAGUUAUCUACAAUAAGGGAAAGUAUUUUUACUAGCUAUUAUACUUAUAAUGUUAAUAUUAGUAAUAUUAAAAGUGUGUUGAAUGAACUCGGCUGGAGUUUCUCGACUGUUUACCAAAAACAUAGCUAAUUGCAAUUACAAUUAGUACUUCCUGCUCAAUGACAUGUUAAAUAGCCGCAGUACUUUGACUGUGCAAAGGUAGCAUAAUCAAUUGGCUCAUAAUUGGAGCCUGGAAUGAAAGGACAUACGGGAAACUACUGUAUCCAGCAUUUACGUUAAACUUGCCUACCGAGUGAAAAUGCUCGGGGCAAAAUGUUAGACGAGAAGACCCUAGAAAUUUGUAGCAAUGUUUAGUUGGGGCAACGUGGUAGGAGUAAACCUACAUUAAGGACAAGCAAUAAUUUAGACAGAAAAAAUUACUCUAGGGAUAACAGCAUAAUUUAGGAAAGUUUGUGACCUCGAUGUUGGAUUUGGGAAUAACAGUUCAGA